UAAAGUAUUUUUAUAGAAAAAAUAAAAUAAUUUAAAGUAAAAUAGUAUUGUAAAAGAAUUUUGAAAUAAGUGAAAUAUAAAAUUAUAAUAAAGUAAUUUUAAUUUAAUGUAUCUUGUGUAUCAGAGUUUAUUAAAAAAUAUUUAUAAAAAAAAAAUUCUCGAAUUUAAAAGAGAUAAUUAAUUAUUAAAGUUAUUGUAGCAUAAAUAUUUUAAAUAAUUAAUUGGAAAUGAAAUGUUAAUCGUUUUUAAAUAUAUCUAGUUUUUUUAGAAAAAAAUUUAAUUUUAUAUUAAUUAAAAAAAAAUAAUUAAUUAAUUAAUUAUUUUUUAAAAUUAAUUUUAUAUUUUAAGGGAUAAGCUUUAAUUUAAAUUAUAUAUAAAGAUAUUUUAAUUUGAUUUGAAAUUUUUAUGAUUUAUAUUGUUAAAAAAUUUUAAUUUAUUAUAAAUAAUUUCAUUUAAAAUAAAAUUUAAUUUAAUUUUAUAUUUUUAUAAAAAAAAAUUUUUUAAUUAGAAAAUAAUAGUUAUAAUGAUAAAAUUAGUAUAUAAAUUAAAAUUAAAAAUUAAUUUUUUAAUAAAAUUAAUUAAAAGGAAUUCGGCAAAAAUUUAUAUUCACUUGUUUAUCAAAAACAUGUCUUUUUGGAAAUAAUAUAAAGUCUAAUCUGCCCACUGAUUUUUAUAAAUUGAAGGGCUGCAGUAUUUUGACUGUACAAAGGUAGCAUAAUCAUUAGUCAUUUAAUUGAUGACUUGUAUGAAAGAUUGGAUGAGAUAUAAUCUGUCUCUUAAUUAAAUAUAGAAUUUAAUUUUUUAAUUAAAAAGUUAAAAUAAAUUAAAAAGACGAGAAGACCCUAUAGAGUUUUAUAAAUAAAUUAAUUAAGGUUAUUUAUUAUAAAAAAAAUUAAAAUUAAUUUAUUUAUUUUGUUGGGGUGACAAAAAAAUAAAUAGAACUUUUUUUAUAUAUAAACAUAUAUAAAUGAUUAAAUGAUCCAUUAUUAAUGAUUAAAAGAAAAAAUUACCUUAGGGAUAACAGCGUAAUUUUUUUUUUUAGUUCAUAUAAGAAAAAGAGUUUGCGACCUCGAUGUUGGAUUAAGAUAAAAUUUAAAUGCAGAAGUUUAAAAUUUUUGAUCUGUUCGAUCAUUAAAAUCUUACAUGAUCUGAGUUCAAACCGGUGUAAGCCAGGUUGGUUUCUAUCUUUUAAAAAUUAAAAUAUUUUAGUACGAAAGGAUUAAAUAUUUAAAUUAAAUUUAUUUUAAUGAAUUUUAAUAA
rnacentral:rRNA from 1 species